AACGAACGCUGGCGGCAGGCCUAACACAUGCAAGUCGAGCGCCCCCUUUAGAGCACAAAGACGGAGACGCGGUGGUUGGAGAGAUCCGAUCGCUGGUUUUGGUGUUUUUGUCUUCUGAUGGGGAGCGGCGGACGGGUGAGUAACGCGUGGGAAUUUUCCUCAAGGUACGGAACAACUCAGGGAAACUUGGGCUAAUACCGUAUGAUGUCUAGCGACCAAAGAUUUAUCGCCUUGGGAUAAGCCCGCGUCAGAUUAGGUAGUUGGUGGGGUAACGGCCUACCAAGCCUGCGAUCUGUAGCUGGUCUGAGAGGACGAUCAGCCACACUGGGACUGAGACACGGCCCAGACUCCUACGGGAGGCAGCAGUGGGGAAUCUUGCGCAAUGGGCGAAAGCCUGACGCAGCCAUGCCGCGUGAAUGAUGAAGGUCUUAGGA
rnacentral:rRNA from 1 species